rnacentral:tRNA from 1 species
GGUGGGUUGGCUCAGUGGUUAGAGCAUAGGCCUCGUAACCGAAAGGUCACGGGAUCGAAUCCCGCUAGAGGCUG